rnacentral:rRNA from 1 species
GACGAACGCUGGCGGCGUGCUUAACACAUGCGAGUCGAACGGGAUCCGGGCUUUCGGGUUUGGUGAGCGUGGCGAACGGGUGAGUAACACGUGAGUAACCUGCCCCCUUCUUUGGGAUAACGUCGGGAAAUCGGCGCUAAUACUGGAGAUUCUUGCUGCAUCGCAUGGGGGGGGUUGGAAAGGGUUUCUGGUGGGGGAUGGGCUCGCGGCCUAUCAGCCUGUUGGUGGGGUGAUGGCCUACCAAGGCUUUGACGGGUAGCCGGCCUGGGAUGGGGGCCGGGCGCACUUGGACUGCGACACGGCCCCUACUCCUCCGCGCGGCAGCCUUCGGGAGUAUUGCGCGAGGAGCGCUAGCCUGUUGCAGCGACGCCGCGUGAGGGAUGCCGGCCUUCGGGUUGUAGCCCUCUUUCAGUAUGGAGCAAGGAUCCUUCUUUUGGGGGGUUUGAGGGUACGUGCAGAAGAAGCGCCGGCUAACUACGUG